CUGGAGGACUACGGUCUGACCUGCCGCGAGAAGGAUCAGGUUCGUCUGAGGCUGGAGAAGCGUUAGCUCUGCCCUCCGUAUCACAGCCCAAAGGACCAAGAAGGACAGAAUAACUUCAGAACGGAGCAUCUGGUAUCCCUUUGAGAUGGCUCUCGGAAGAUCUACAGAUCUUUUUGCCCAUCUCUUUCAUCCCAAGAGUGUGGUAGAAGGUGGUCUGGAUAAAUAAUGAAGGCUGGCACGUCCUCUACGAAUAUCUAACCUCUGGCAGAAAAACAGUACAAAGGCUGUAUCACCAGGCAGAAAAGGCCAUGUCCCUUUAUACUGUUCCA